UACGUAGGGGGCAAGCGUUGUCCGGAUUUACUGGGCGUAAAGAGCGCGUAGGCGGAAGCUUAAGCGGUACCUGAAAGCCCCCGGCUCAACCGGGGAAGGUGGCGCCGAGCUGGGCUUCUUGAGGGCGAUAGAGGAAAGUGGAAUUCCGGGUGUAGCGGUGAAAUGCGUAGAUAUCCGGAGGAACACCAGUGGCGCAGGCGGCUUCUGGGUCGGACCCUGACGCUGAGACGCGAAAGCCAGGGGAGCGAACGGG
rnacentral:rRNA from 1 species